ACACUCCUACGGGAGGCAGCAGUGGGGAAUUUUGGACAAUGGGCGAAAGCCUGAUCCAGCAAUGCCGCGUGCAGGAUGAAGGCCUUCGGGUUGUAAACUGCUUUUGUACGGAACGAAAAAGCUCCUUCUAAUACAGGGGGCCCAUGACGGUACCGUAAGAAUAAGCACCGGCUAACUACGUGCCAGCAGCCGCGGUAAUACGUAGGGUGCGAGCGUUAAUCGGAAUUACUGGGCGUAAAGCGUGCGCAGGCGGUUAUGUAAGACAGAUGUGAAAUCCCCGGGCUCAACCUGGGAACUGCAUUUGUGACUGCAUGGCUAGAGUACGGUAGAGGGGGAUGGAAUUCCGCGUGUAGCAGUGAAAUGCGUAGAUAUGCGGAGGAACACCGAUGGCGAAGGCAAUCCCCUGGACCUGUACUGACGCUCAUGCACGAAAGCGUGGGGAGCAAACAGGAUUAGAAACCCUAGUAGUCCCAUGAU
rnacentral:rRNA from 1 species